CGCCCGGCCGCCACUUACCCAGCCGCCCUGCGGCCCCUUCCAGGCCGACGUCUCCACACCAGCGCCGCCGCAGGAAGGGGAGGCUGCGCUUCCCGGCGAGUCCGCGAUGGUCGCGCUGCCGCCAAGCCGCGGCUUAUUCCAUCUGGAUUCGUAUUACAGAGACUCACGUAAGGAGGAAAGGACAGAAUGGAGACACAAGGCCUUCCCAUUAUGGGUUCUCUGGCCCUCCCUCUGGAAGCACCCUUGGAAACAAGAAUUACAUUUUUGGAAGGAUUCCUGAGUCACUUUGCAGUCAAGAAAUGGGGUGGUAUGAAGCCUCUGAGAAGCCUCCAGUGCAUGUGGUGGGCAGGUACCAGGGCUUGCAAGUUCUAGGGAAUGGCUAGGAGCACUUUUAAACUCUGUUUAAAUUAAAGUCAAGUCUAGACCCAAA